CUUUUUAGCCACAGAACGCCGUGGCUAAAAAGUAUACUGAAAUCUGGUAUACUUUUUAGCCACAGAACGCCGUGGCUAAAAAGUAUACAGAAA